AAGUCGUAACAAGGUUUCCGUAGGUGAACCUGCGGAAGGAUCAUUAUUAAAUAAUCCUAAUGGAUUUCAAAUCCAUUACCCACCUUUGUGAAAACGAAAUGUUAUUCCCUGUAGCGCGAUCCUCUUUCUUUUUUCCUUUCCGGAGAAAAGAGAUAAGUGAUGCAGGGAAAUUUUUUAUAAACCUUUUAUGUUGUGUUUGUCUAAUACUGUGCUGAAAAGCAACAAAAAAAAAAUUAACAAUACAACUUUCAACAACGGAUCUCUUGGCUCCCA
rnacentral:misc_RNA from 1 species